rnacentral:rRNA from 1 species
UACAGAGGUCUCAAGCGUUGUUCGGAUUCAUUGGGCGUAAAGGGCGCGUAGGCGGCCUGAUAAGUAGGGGGUGAAAUCCUGCGGCUUAACCGCAGGGCUGCCUUCUAAACUGUCAGGCUUGAGCACGGUAGAGGCAGGUGGAAUUCCCGGUGUAGCGGUGGAAUGCGUAGAGAUCGGGAAGAACAUCAGUGGCGAAGGCGGCCUGCUGGGCUGUUGCUGACGCUGAGGCGCGACAGCGUGGGGAGCAAACAGG